GCGAACGCUCGGAGCCAGCAGCAAACUAGCCAUUUCAUCGUUUAUUUUUGUCGUAAGCAUUGGCUUACUUGUGAAGAUUGUUUCGUUUUAUCCUAAAGACUGUUUGGAGUUUGUCUGCCUUGGAUUACGGAUAUUACACAUUUCCCUGUAUUAAACAUUAACUGUGCUAGCUAGCUAAACAUUUUAUUUGUGCGACGACAGCUGUCAUUUGGAGAAGGAAAAGUGAUCCGUCAUGCGUGAGAAAUUAAGCUGAUUUCUACUGGAUUUACAUUUUAACAUCCUUCAAAUGGGCGACGUUAACGUUCAAUAUUUGAGAACUGCGGUGGUAUUGCCUUAGUAACUAGUGUGGCCACCUAGCUUGCUACUUAUACUUAUCGUUGGACAGAAGACAGCUAGUUAGCUGGCUAUAUCAUUCAUUCAGCCUCAUAAAUACACUAACUACAAAGUGAUAUAACUAUAGCAAUAUCGCUUACAAUUUUGGACAUGAAGAAAAUAACCUACUAUUCAUAGGGUUGAAAGAAUGUCAUCAGAGGAUAAGACUGUGGAGCCCUCUGACCAGGGACCCUCGCUGCCCUCUGUUAGUGCAGGGGCCACGUCCACAGGAAGCCCUGCCCAGACAGACAAGCGCCCCAGGGGCAGACCACGCAAGGAUGCUACCACCACCAUCGUACCCCAGGCUCUACCCACAACUACAUCCAAGACCAGGAAGAAGGGGCGUACCAGAGGUAGAGUGGUUGUGGAGGAGGAGGACAGCAGCAUGGACGGGACAGAGGCAGCCGCUUCAGAGAGCCCCCUCAGGACACAACAGGUCGCAGUUGCAAAUGAGAACUUGUUCUCAACUAGCCUACCUGGUUGAAUAAAG
ensembl:lncRNA